GCCAGACUCCUACGGGAGGCAGCAGUGGGGGAUAUUGCACAAUGGGGGAAACCCUGAUGCAGCGACGCCGCGUGGGCGAAGAAGUAUUUCGGUAUGUAAAGCCCUAUCAGCAGGGAAGAAGAAAUGACGGUACCUGAGUAAGAAGCACCGGCUAAAUACGUGCCAGCAGCCGCGGUAAUACGUAUGGUGCAAGCGUUAUCCGGAUUUACUGGGUGUAAAGGGAGCGCAGGCGGCACGGCAAGCCUGAUGUGAAGGCCCGCGGCCCAACCGCGGGACUGCAUUGGGAACUACCGGGCUGGAGUGCCGGAGAGGUAGGCGGAAUUCCUAGUGUAGCGGUGAAAUGCGUAGAUAUUAGGAGGAACGCCAGUGGCGAAGGCGGCCUACUGGACGGUGACUGACGCUGAGGCUCGAAAGCGUGGGGAGCAAACAGGAUUAGAUACCCCCGUA
rnacentral:rRNA from 1 species